rnacentral:rRNA from 1 species
UGGUCAAGUUAUUAAGGGUGCAGGGCGGAUGCCUUGGCACUAGGAGCCGAUGAAGGACGUGAUAAGCUGCGAUAAGCUUCGGGGAGUUGCACGUAAACUUUGAUCCGAAGAUUUCCGAAUGAGGAAACUCACUUAGAGUAAUGUCUAAGUAUCAUUAAGUGAAUACAUAGCUUAAUGAGGGGAACUCAGGGAACUGAAACAUCUAAGUACCUGAAGGAAGAGAAAGAAAUUCGAUUCCGUAAGUAGCG